UACGGAGGAUCCGAGCGUUAUCCGGAUUUAUUGGGUUUAAAGGGUGCGCAGGCGGAUUUUUAAGUCAGCGGUCAAAUCGUGGGGCUCAACCCCAUCCAGCCGUUGAAACUGGGGAUCUAGAGUGUGCGAGAGGUAUGCGGAAUGCGUGGUGUAGCGGUGAAAUGCAUAGAUAUCACGCAGAACCCCGAUUGCGAAGGCAGCAUACCGGUGCACAACUGACGCUCAGGCACGAAAGCGUGGGUAUCGAACAGG
rnacentral:rRNA from 1 species